GACGGAGGGUGCAAGCGUUGUUCGGAAUUACUGGGCGUAAAGGGCGCGUAGGCGGUCUGUUAAGUUCGGUGUGAAAGCCCCGGGCUCAACCUGGGAACUGCAAUGGAAACUGGCGGGCUUGAGUGUGGCAGAGGGGGGUGGAAUUCCACGUGUAGCAGUGAAAUGCGUAGAGAUGUGGAGGAAUACCGAUGGCGAAGGCAGCCCCCUGGGCCAAUACUGACGCUCAUGCACGAAAGCGUGGGGAGCAAACAGG
rnacentral:rRNA from 1 species